rnacentral:rRNA from 1 species
CGGCGGACGGGUGAGUAACACGUGGGUAACCUACCUAUAAGUCUGGGACAACUUCGGGAAACCGGAGCUAAUACCGGAUAAUAUGUUGAACCGCAUGGUUCAAUAGUGAAAGAUGGUUUUGCUAUCACUUAUAGAUGGACCCGCGCCGUAUUAGCUAGUUGGUGAGGUAACGGCUCACCAAGGCAACGAUACGUAGCCGACCUGAGAGGGUGAUCGGCCACACUGGAACUGAGACACGGUCCAGACUCCUACGGGAGGCAGCAGUAGGGAAUCUUCCGCAAUGGGCGAAAGCCUGACGGAGCAACGCCGCGUGAGUGAUGAAGGUCUUAGGAUCGUAAAACUCUGUUAUUAGGGAAGAACAAACGUGUAAGUAACUGUGCACGUCUUGACGGUACCUAAUCAGAAAGCCACGGCUAACUACGUGCCAGCAGCCGCGGUAAUACGUAGGUGGCAAGCGUUAUCCGGAAUUAUUGGGCGUAAAGCGCGCGUAGGCGGUUUUUUAAGUCUGAUGUGAAAGCCCACGGCUCAACCGUGGAGGGUCAUUGGAAACUGGAAAACUUGAGUGCAGAAGAGGAAAGUGGAAUUCCAUGUGUAGCGGUGAAAUGCGCAGAGAUAUGGAGGAACACCAGUGGCGAAGGCGACUUUCUGGUCUGUAACUGACGCUGAUGUGCGAAAGCGUGGGGAUCAAACAGGAUUAGAUACCCUGGUAGUCCACGCCGUAAACGAUGAGUGCUAAGUGUUAGGGGGUUUCCGCCCCUUAGUGCUGCAGCUAACGCAUUAAGCACUCCGCCUGGGGAGUACGACCGCAAGGUUG